GCGCUGGAUAAAACAGGUGUCCGCCGCCCCGGAAUUACUGUGGCCACUAGUGUGCGUCGCUUUUAUUGGGCCUAAAGCGCCCGUACCGGGUCGCUAUCUGUGUGAGAAACUCAGGUAGCCCAAGCGGUAGAAUUGGGCAGAGAGUGCGAGACUAGAGACCGGGAGAGGCGCGGGGUACUCGACGCGUAGGGGUAAAAUCCUGUCCUCAUUAGAGAGACCACCUUUUGCAGACGCGCCACACGAACACAUAUCCCACGGUCAGGGACGACCCCUAGGGGCAAAAACCAGAUUAUAUACCCGGGUAGUCAUAUGUAUAAACUCUGUGAACUUGGUGUCGGGAGUCCGCUGUGGGCCCCCGGUGCCAGAGUGAAGAUGUUAAUCUCACUGCCUGGGGAGUACGGUCGCAGGGCUGAAACUUAAAGGAUU
rnacentral:rRNA from 1 species